CUGAUGCAGCCAUGCCGCGUGUGUGAAGAAGGCCUUCGGGUUGUAAAGCACUUUCAGUUGUGAGGAAAAGUUAGUAGUUAAUACCUGCUAGCCGUGACGUUAACAACAGAAGAAGCACCGGCUAACUCCGUGCCAGCAGCCGCGGUAAUACGGAGGGUGCGAGCGUUAAUCGGAAUUACUGGGCGUAAAGCGCACGCAGGCGGUUUGUUAAGCUAGAUGUGAAAGCCCCGGGCUCAACCUGGGAUGGUCAUUUAGAACUGGCAGACUAGAGUCUUGGAGAGGGGAGUGGAAUUCCAGGUGUAGCGGUGAAAUGCGUAGAUAUCUGGAGGAACAUCAGUGGCGAAGGCGACUCCCUGGCCAAAGACUGACGCUCAUGUGCGAAAGUGUGGGUAGCGAACAGGAUUAGAUACCCUGGUAGUCCACACCGUAAACGCUGUCUACUAGCUGUGUGUGCCUUUAAGGCGUGCGUAGCGAAGCUAACGCGCUAAGUAGACCGCCUGGGGAGUACGGCCGCAAGGUUAAAACUCAAAUGAA
rnacentral:rRNA from 1 species